rnacentral:rRNA from 1 species
UACGGAGGGGGCUAGCGUUGUUCGGAAUUACUGGGCGUAAAGCGCACGUAGGCGGACCAGCAAGUUGGGGGUGAAAUCCCGGGGCUCAACCCCGGAACUGCCUUCAAAACUGCGGGUCUGGAGGUCGAGAGAGGUGAGUGGAAUUCCGAGUGUAGAGGUGAAAUUCGUAGAUAUUCGGAGGAACACCAGUGGCGAAGGCGGCUCACUGGCUCGAUACUGACGCUGAGGUGCGAAGGCGUGGGGAGCGAACGGG